rnacentral:rRNA from 1 species
AUUAUUUUAAGUUAUAUAUUGGGGGUAAAUAAAAUUUAUGAAAUCAAAAAAUUUUGGCGGUAUUUUAAGCUUAUUAGAGGAAUUUGCUCUGUAAUGGACACAACGCCUUAAUCUUACUUAAUUUAGUAAUUAAAAUCAGUUUGUAUACCACUAUAUAAAUUAUAUUGAAUAGUUAUAUUUAAAAUUUUUUUUUAAAAAAUAUAUUAAGUCAAGGUGCAUCAAAUAAUUAUGAAUGAGGUGAAUUACAUUAAUUUUAAUGUAAUUUUUUUUGUUGAAAGAAUUUUUAGGAUUUAAUAGUAAAAUACUAAUAUUAUGAGUAUUUGAAUCAAGCUCUAAAAUAUGCAC